ACAAUAACAUAAUACUCUAAGAACCAAUAAAACUAGCAUCAACACAUGUUGGAGCAGAAGGGUCUUUUGCUCCAAUAUGCUCAAAGCAGAGCCAAAUACUACAGCACAAAGUUCCAUUUACUAAUCCUAACCCAAAACAUGUUUAAACUAACAAGUCAUCAACCUCAAUAUAGUUUAGAAGACUGUUGAAAAUACAUUAAUGUCAGAUAUGUAAACAAAAAAGGAACUGAUCAAUAUCAAGAAAAACACAAGACAGAUGAUCCUUGUAUAUAGGGGCAAAGUAACCAAAAUCUGGAGCAUGAAAGAUAAUUGUAUGUGGCAACUAUCAGAUCAAAGUAUUGCCUGAGAACACUAGAAAUGACAAAUACUGCGUAAGACAUCCAGAAA